rnacentral:rRNA from 1 species
ACAAGCGGUGGAGCUAUGUGGUUUAAUUCGAAGCAACGCGAAGAACUUACCAGGCCUUGACAUGCAGAGAACUUUCCAGAGAUGGAUUGGUGCCUUCGGGAACUCUGACACAGGUGCUGCAUGGCUGUCGUCAGCUCGUGUCGUGAGAUGUUGGGUUAAGUCCCGUAACGAGCGCAACCCUUGUCCUUAGUUACCAGCACGUUAUGGUGGGCACUCUAAGGAGACUGCCGGUGACGAAACCGGAGGAAGGUGGGGAUGACGUCAAGUCAUCAUGGGCCCUUACGGCCUGGGCUACACACGUGCUACAAUGGUCGGUACAAAGGGUUGCCAAGCCGCGAGGUGGAGCUAAUCCCAUAAAACCGAUCGUAGUCCGGAUCGCAGUCUGCAACUCGACUGCGUGAAGUCGGAAUCGCUAGUAAUCGUGAAUCAGAAUGUCACGGUGAAUACGUUCCCGGGCCUU